GACGAACGCUGGCGGCGUGCUUAACACAUGCAAGUCGAGCGAUGAAAGCCUUAUGAACUAUUCGUAGUGAUUGGGGCCGGAUUAGCGGCGGACGGGUGAGUAACGCGUGAGCAACCUGCCUUAAACAACGGGAUAGCCUCGGGAAACCGGGAUUAAUACCGUAUGAGACCCCGCCUUCACAUGAAGAAGAGGUUAAAGAUUAUCGGUUUAAGAUGGGCUCGCGUCUGAUUAGCUAGUUGGUGAGAUAAAAGCCCACCAAGGCAACGAUCAGUAACCGGCUUGGGAGAGUGAACGGUCACAUUGGAACUGAGACACGGUCCAAACUCCUACGGGAGGCAGCAGUGGGGAAUAUUGCACAAUGGGGGAAACCCUGAUGCAGCGACGCCGCGUGAGCGAUGAAGGAAUUCGUUUCGUAAAGCUCUGUCCAAGGGGAAGAUAAUGACAGUACCCUUGGAGGAAGCCCCGGCUAAAUACGUGCCAGCCGCCGCGGUAA
rnacentral:rRNA from 1 species